GGGUGCGAUCAUACCAACAUUAAAGCACCAGAUCCCAUCAGAACUCCGUAGUUAAGCGCGUUUAGGCUAGAGUAGUACUAGGAUGGGUGACCUCUUGGGAAGUCCUAGUGUCGCACCCU
rfam:Picea glauca, whole genome shotgun sequence.